UAAAUGAAGAACAUGAGGUAAAUAGGCA
rnacentral:piRNA from 1 species